AGAUUGAACGCUGGCGGCGUGCCUAACACAUGCAAGUCGAGCGGUAACAGGUGUAGCAAUACAUGCUGACGAGCGGCGAACGGGUGAGUAAUGCUUUGGAAUCUUCCCAGUAGUGGGGAAUAACCAGUCGAAAGAUUGGCUAAUACCGCAUACGUCUGUAAAGGGAAAGCGGGGGCUCGUAAGACCUCGCGCUAUUGGAUGAGCCAAAGUCGGAUUAGCUAGUUGGUGGGGUAAUGGCCUACCAAGGCGACAAUCCGUAGCUGGUCUGAGAGGACGACCAGCCACACCGGAACUGAGACACGGUCCGGACUCCUACGGGAGGCAGCAGUGGGGAAUAUUGGACAAUGGGGGAAACCCUGAUCCAGCGACGCCGCGUGUGUGAAGAAGGCCUGCGGGUUGUAAAGCACUUUUAGUGGGGACAAAAGCUACGGAUUAAUACUCUGUGGUCUUGAUUUAACCCAAAGAAAAGCACCGGCUAACUCUGUGCCAGCAGCCGCGGUAA
rnacentral:rRNA from 1 species